rnacentral:lncRNA from 1 species
AAGGCUGAUGGAUGUGGAGAGAUAAACAGAGGCGAGGCCAAGAGAGAGUUGGCACAGAGACACACAGGCAGAGUGUGGAGAGGGAAACAGAGCCUGGCAGCCAGAGAGAAUGGCCUACAGCCCAAGAAGGCGUCAGCAUGGCGGGGCCCUCGGGUCUCCCUGGCCGUCCCCUGCAGGCCCAUGGGCUCCUCGUGAGCUCUGGCUCUGGGAGUGCCAGGCCUCCCACGGCCGGCCACCUUCCCUUAGGUUCCAGGGGAUAAAGACUGAGAUUUUCUUAGAACCAAGGAAGGUGGCAGCUGGGUGGGUGGCUUGGGGACUUGCCAGUCCCUUUGCCAGUGAAGAAGCUGACCUCUCUCAGGGUCAAGGGGUCUGUCUGCUCUGCGCAUCCUAGCAGGAUGACCUCGGGUGAGUGAGGAAGCUGCUCCGGCCUCCAUUUCCUCGUCUGCAGAAUGGAAGCAGAGAUGGCUCCUCCCAGGGGUGGCGUAAGACAGCACAGGCAGAGGAGCAUAGUGUGGUGCCUGGCGCGAGGCCACCCUCAAUAAAUGGUAGCUCUGAGCACCAGUUCACUCACUUCUGUCCCCAGGCAGAAGGACGACGUGGUGCCUUCCCUCGGGAGCUCGUGGUGGAGGUGUGUGGGGAGUGACUGGCCCUGGGCUAGACCAAGGACACUGCUGUGGGCCCUCUUUCCAGUCAAGCCUGAGGAGGUGAGCUCACCAGUCCAGCCUCACCUUCCUCUCCAAGAUGCCAUGAGACGCUCAGACCGCCGCCUCUCAGGGUCGAACAGGAGCACGCCCGCCUCCCUCUCACCCUCUGCCCUCCCCCGGCCUCUCUGCGGUGACCUCGCACUUUGCCCUCUACCUGGUGGGGAGGGGAGAGCUCAGCCUUCCCCCCGCCCGGGGCCUGAGGCCCACCGUCUGGCUGCAGAGAUUCAUUGCCAAAGAUUCGACAGACACUGAACAAAAUGUGGUGAGAAAACCCCACAGUGAAAAGCCACACGGUUGCUCUGUGACUUUUGCUUCUCCUGUUGCCCGAGUCCCAUCUCAAGCCAAAGACGAGUCAGCGGUUCCACUAGGGACUCAUGGAAGGGAUGGACACUUGGCGACCAUUGGAAGCGCUUGACCCUCUGACCCGAAACUCUCUUUCUACACUGGGCCCUGAGCCCGCUGGGUGCAAGAUAAGCCUUCUGGAGGCUGUGAGGGGCAGGGUGGGGGUGCCUGGAGGGAGUGGAUCUGAGAUCCCAGCCCAUUCUGUCCCUCCCACUGGCUGCCCAGGCCUCUGACCCUGAUUCUCAGUGUCCCCUGGGCCCAGGCUCCUUCUUGGGCCCUGAGCAUCAUGGGAAGGGAGUAAGGAGGGAAAGAAGCAAUAUUGACCACCUGUACCCCACCCCCAGGACUUGCCCCAGGGUGACCUGCCUAAGGGUCUUUGCUCGCUUAGCCAGCCCAACCAGCCACUCCUUGCCGGGGGCCUGCCCUCCUGGCUGGGCAAACGAGAUGGUGCCCGGCCUGGGGACCAGUGGUCUGUUACAGGUUGUGCAUGGGGACAGAGGUGGGGAAGGGACCAGGGGAAUGGGCCAGUCUGUGGGGAAGGGGGACAUGUUCAAAGCCAAGGCCUGCUCCUUCCUUGUGCUCAAAAGGCCAAAGCUGUUCACAUCUGUGCUCAACCAUCUGCUUCAAAUUGAAGUAAAAGCCCCAACGUGUAAAGAAAUCACUUGCCUGUGUUGAGUGGACUCUGUGGGUGACCAGGACUUGGGCCGGUCACUGAGGGG